CUUGUAAAAGUGAACCAGCUAAUUAGAUUUCGUAUAAUUAUCGUAUACGGAGUAGGGUAUAUUCAUAAUGAGAAUCUAUACCUGAGUAGUCCUUGACAAUUCUGGUGCCAGCAUCAGCGGUAAUACCAGAAGGGCGAGUAUCAAGCGUAAUAAAUAGGCGUAAAGGGAUCGCAGACGGUUUCAAUAUUUCUUAUAUUAAGAAACUUAUUGGGACUAGAAUCUAAUGGGUGUUUUGAGCACGUUGGGAGUAGGGGUAAAAUCCGUUGAUACUCAAAAGACUACUAAAAGCGAAAGCACAAAACAAUUAAAGAUUGACGUUGAGGAUCGAAAGCAUGGGUAGCAAAAGAGAUUAGAGACCUCUGAUAGUCCAUGCCGUAAACGAUGUCUGUUCAUAUGUAGCUCCAUAUAGCUAUAUAUUUAGUUAGCACAUUAAACAGACCGCCUGAACAGUACAUUCUCAAGAAUGAAAAUCAAAAGUUUUAACCGUAGGCUAGUACACGGGGUGAAGCAU
rnacentral:rRNA from 1 species